UACAGAGGGGGCAAGCGUUGUUCGGAAUUACUGGGCGUAAAGGGCGCGUAGGCGGCCUGUUAAGUCGAACGUGAAAUCCCCGGGCUCAACCCGGGAACUGCGUCCGAUACUGGCAGGCUUGAAUCCGGGAGAGGGAUGCGGAAUUCCAGGUGUAGCGGUGAAAUGCGUAGAUAUCUGGAGGAACACCGGUGGCGAAGGCGGCAUCCUGGACCGGUAUUGACGCUGAGGCGCGAAAGCCAGGGGAGCAAACAGG
rnacentral:rRNA from 1 species